UCCUACAUGAUCACCUAGAGUACUCAUAAUCCUCAUAUCAUCGCGAGGUUGAUGCCAUAGUAUGCCCACCAUCUUCCAAUAUCAUGGCCAACUAUCUCCAAGGACGGGCUUAUAUAGAUUCGUAAGUCAAUUCAACAACCCCGAUUUCUUCUACUUGUCAUUCACCAAGAAACAUGGUAUCAUAAUCGAGAUCAUUGGGCUAAAUCCAAUUUACUCUGAACCACGUGGCCUCAUUCAUCAUCGAUACUCCCUUAAGG
rnacentral:lncRNA from 1 species